rnacentral:rRNA from 1 species
GGUGAGUAACGCGUAAAGAACUUGCCUUACAGACUGGGACAACAUUUGGAAACGAAUGCUAAUACCGGAUAUUAUGAUUGGGUCGCAUGAUCUGGUUAUGAAAGCUAUAUGCGCUGUGAGAGAGCUUUGCGUCCCAUUAGUUAGUUGGUGAGGUAACGGCUCACCAAGACGAUGAUGGGUAGCCGGCCUGAGAGGGUGAACGGCCACAAGGGGACUGAGACACGGCCCUUACUCCUACGGGAGGCAGCAGUGGGGAAUAUUGGACAAUGGACCAAAAGUCUGAUCCAGCAAUUCUGUGUGCACGAAGAAGUUUUUCGGAAUGUAAAGUGCUUUCAGUUGGGAAGAAGUCAGUGACGGUACCAACAGAAGAAGCGACGGCUAAAUACGUGCCAGCAGCCGCGGUAAUACGUAUGUCGCAAGCGUUAUCCGGAUUUAUUGGGCGUAAAGCGCGUCUAGGCGGCUUAGUAAGUCUGAUGUGAAAAUGCGGGGCUCAACCCCGUAUUGCGUUGGAAACUGCUAAACUAGAGUACUGGAGAGGUAGGCGGAACUACAAGUGUAGAGGUGAAAUUCGUAGAUAUUUG